UAGUUCAAACCAUAUAUUAAAAGAUUAAAAACAAGAAUAAAUAUCAGUAAUGACCCUUUCAUCGAAAUGCUAGCUUAGAAACUGUUACUCUCACAAUUGGCACAUUUAUUUCCGUGAGUACAUGAUUUUCUCUUUAGGAAUAACUUUAGCAAUAUUUGUUUCCUGGAAUCUGUUCACCCCCUUUCGUUGCUUUUAUAUAAAUGGACAC
rnacentral:lncRNA from 1 species